rnacentral:rRNA from 1 species
AAAGAAAAUAGUUCAGCACUAAGUCACUUUGUCUUAAUGGCAAAUGUGAGAUGCAGUGUAUGGAAUGUCAAAUUUCUAGUAUGAGAAAUUAACGAUUUAAGUCCUUCUUAAAUGAGGCCAUUUACCCAAAGAGGGUGCCAGGCCCGUAUAACGUUAAUGAUUACUAGAUGGCAUUUCCAAAGAGUCGUGUUGCUUGAUAGUGCAGCACUAAGUGGGUGGUAAACUCCAUCUAAAACUAAAUAUAACCAUGAGACCGAUAGUAAACAAGUACCGUGAGGGAAAGUUGAAAAGAACUCUGAAUAGAGAGUUAAAUAGUACGUGAAACUGCUUAGAGGUUAAGCCCGAUGAACCUGAAUAUCCGUUAUAGAAAAUUCAUCAUUAUGAUUUUAAUAUUUAUAAUAUUAUAAUAAUGGUGUGCAUUUUUUCUAUAAAAGGACAUUGUAAUCUAUUAACAUAAAUAUAUUUAUCAUAAGAUCAAGAGCGUAAGUUUAUUCAAAUUAUUUUGCUUGCAAUUUAACAUAGAAUAAAUGCUUUUGAUUUGAUAAAGUGUUGAUAGAUUUAUUAUAUAUAGUGCUUAAAUAUUUAUAUUUUAUAAUAGCAUAUUAAUCAUUGAUUUUUAUGUUUAUUAUAUGCACUUAUAUGAUUAACAAUGCGAAAGAUUCAGGAUACCUUCGGGACCCGUCUUGAAACACGGACCAAGGAGUCUAACAUAUUUGCAAGUUAUUGGGAAUAAAAACCUAAUAGCGAAAUUAACAUAACUUAAUAAUGGGAUUAGUUUUUAGCCUAUUUAUAGUCUAUUAAUACAAUCCCGGGGCGUUCUAUCAGUUAUGUAUAAUAAUAUUUAUAUUAUUUAUACCUCUAACUAGAGCGUACCUUGAGCAUAUAUGCUGUGACCCGAAAGAUGGUGAACUAUACUUGAUCAGGUUGAAGUCAGGGGAAACCCUGAUGGAAGACCGAAACAGUUCUGACGUGCAAAUCGAUUGUCAGAAUUGAGUAUAGGGGCGAAAGACCAAUCGAACCAUCUAGUAGCUGGUUCCCUCCGAAGUUUCCCUCAGGAUAGCUGGUGCAUUUAAAAAUUAUGUAAAAUAAUCUUAUCUGGUAAAGCGAAUGAUUAGAGGCCUUAGGGUCGAAACGACCUUAACCUAUUCUCAAACUUUAAAUGGGUAAGAACCUCACCUUUCUUGGUAUGAAGGUUGUGGUUGUGAUAUAAUGUGCCCAGUGGGCCACUUUUGGUAAGCAGAACUGGCGCUGUGGGAUGAACCAAACGUAAUGUUACGGUGCCCAAAUUAACAACUCAUGCAGAUACCAUGAAAGGCGUUGGUUGCUUAAAACAGCAGGACGGUGGACAUGGAAGUCGUAAUCCGCUAAGGAGUGUGUAACAACUCACCUGCCGAAGCAACUAGCCCUUAAAAUGGAUGGCGCUUAAGUUGUAUACCUAUACAUUACCGCUAAAGUAGAUGGUUUAUGUUCAAUUUCGGUUGGAUUAUAAACUUUGAAACUUUAGUGAGUAGGAGGGUACAAUGGUGAGCAUAGAAGUGUUUGGCGUAAGCCUGCAUGGAGCUGCCAUUGGUACAGAUCUUGGUGGUAGUAGCAAAUAAUCGAAUGAGACCUUGGAGGACUGAAGUGGAGAAGGGUUUCGUGUGAACAGUGGUUGAUCACGAGUUAGUCGGUCCUAAGUUCAAGGCGAAAGCCGAAAAUUUUCAAGUUAUAAUGAAAAGUAAGUAAUAUUUUACUUAACUUAGUAAUUAAACACUUGAAUAAUUUUGAACGAAAGGGAAUACGGUUCCAAUUCCGUAACCUGUUGAGUAUCCGUUUGUUAUUAAAUAUGGGCCUUGUGCUCAUCCUGGCAACAGGAACGACCAUAAAGAAGCCGUCGAGAGAUAUCGGAAGAGUUUUCUUUUCUGUUUUAUAGUCGUACUACCAUGGAAGUCUUUCGAAGAGAGAUAUGGUAGAUGGACUAGAAGAGCAUGACAUUUACUGUUGUGUCGAUAUUUUCUCCUCGGACCUUGAAAAUUUAUGGUGGGGUCACGCAAACUUCUCAACAGGCCGUACCAAUAUCCGCAGCUG